UUUAAUUAAGCCUGCCACGUCACCAAUUGAUGACGUAGCUCUCCAAGUAGGCUAUAGUGCAGCUGAUGUAUUAAAAAAAAAUAAAUUAUUUUAGUAUCUACUUACACAUUUAUUAUACAUUAAAGGGCAAAUUUGACAACUCAUUUUAUAUUAAACAUUAAAAUUAAAUAAAAACAACAAAUAUCUAAAACCAUCACAAACAAAUCGAUCAAAGCCCCAACUUCGAUCAAAUUAAUUAAAGCCCAAAAAAACCUAGGUCUCAAAGGAGAAUGGGUGAAUAUUAAUACUACGGAUCUCUUAAGAUGUUUCAUUCUUCUUCCUCAUAUUUUACGUAUGGUCUCAUCUCAUCUCCCUCUAUCUAUCUAUUUCAUCAUAUUUUACGUAUGAAGGCAUCGUGAAGUUUCUCUUCCUUCUGAGUGUUGGCUUGCAUCUUCUGAGUCGGAUGUGGAUGAGGAUUCAGCAUUUUGGGGGUUUGAAGAUGAUCCAUUGCUGUCUCCCUCACUAAGGCAUGAUGAGCAGCUAUCAGAAUUGGAUGUUCUGCUCAUAUACGGGUCUGUAGUCCCAGUUAAAGAAGAGGAUGUCAUAGGACACGUCUCAGAUUCCUCAUCCGUUGCUUCCUUAAAGUACUGAGAGGGUUUUGCUUCAAAAUGGAAUCCAUUCUGGCAGUUCUUGUCCAUUUCCGACCUAUAUGGUCUUGAUUCUUUUAAAUGAUUGUCCUCAUUUUUUAUUUCAACAGUAUCUCCACCGGAGAUCGAGUCACCAGAUUCCUCCGGUAGGUGACGCCUAAUCGAUCGAGUCACCGGAUUGUUUCCGUGAAUGAUGAAGAUGAAUUGGAAUCGGAUUUGGAUGAAGAAUUGAUUUCAUUUUGGGUAUUUGACAAAUUUGCCCUUUAAUGUAUAAUAAAUUUGUAAAUAAAUAUUAAAAUAUUAAUUUUUUUUAACACAUCAGCUGCACUAUGACCUAUUAAAAUAUUAAUUCUGCCCAAAGGUGAUCGCUUGGUGAUAUCUGUGAACUCGUUUGGAUUGAAGAAAUGGAAUAAAUAAUGACAUUUUAUUUUAGUUAGAAUGAGUUAUUUCAUAUGUUCUCCCUCC
rnacentral:lncRNA from 1 species